CAGCAAGUGUACAUCGAAUCUACACUCGAAAUCAGAGAGAAUUGUGGGUAUAAAGUAGUGAACGAAUGUAGGGAAUGAAGUCGUUCACUCAGAAUUCGGACACCACUACAAAAUGGCCGACACCCGAUAUAGUGGACUAUAUAGUGGAUAGGGAGCGGUUUCAGACACAGCUAGGGCCAUAGAGAGAGAGAGAGUUGCGACAACUCCAUAGACUCCAAUGGAACGGUUUUUUACAGCAAUGGCGGCUCGUGGAGCCUCUCAAUAGUUCCCGGAAGUAGCAGCCGCGCCGUAGUUACAGCAGAACAGACCGUUUGUGAUGCACUUUUAAAAGCACAAAGGGGAUUCAGAUCCUGAAGACUCCAUGCAAUGAUGCUGUCACCGCCAGUCUCUGCUCCUUGGAUUUUGCAAGCUUUUCCUUGCUCCUUAUUUUUAAUAAACCUUUAAUAAACAUAAAA